GAUGAACGCUGGCGGCGUGCUUAACACAUGCAAGUCGAACGGAAAGGCUCCUGCUUGCAGGGGUACUCGAGUGGCGAAAGGGUGAGUAACACGUGGGUGAUCUGCCCUGCACUUCGGGAUAAGCCUGGGAAACUGGGUCUAAUACCGGAUAGGACCACAUUUUGGAUGGUGUGGUGGAAAGUUUUUCGGUGUGGGAUGAGCUCGCGGCCUAUCAGCUUGUUGGUGGGGUAAUGGCCUACCAAGGCGUCGACGGGUAGCCGGCCUGAGAGGGUGUACGGCCACAUUGGGACUGAGAUACGGCCCAGACUCCUACGGGAGGCAGCAGUGGGGAAUAUUGCACAAUGGGCGCAAGCCUGAUGCAGCGACGCCGCGUGGGGGAUGACGGCCUUCGGGUUGUAAACUCCUUUCGCUAGGGACGAAGCGCAAGUGACGGUACCUGGAGAAGAAGCACCGGCUAACUACGUG
rnacentral:rRNA from 1 species